UACGUAGGGUGCAAGCGUUAAUCGGAAUUACUGGGCGUAAAGCGUGCGCAGGCGGUUUUGUAAGUCUGUCGUGAAAUCCCCGGGCUCAACCUGGGAAUUGCGAUGGAGACUGCAAGGCUAGAAAUCUGGCAGAGGGGGGUAGAAUUCCACGUGUGAGCAGUGAAAUGCGUAGAGAUGUGGAGGAACACCGAUGGCGAAGGCAGCCCCCUGGGUCAAGAUUGACGCUCAUGCACGAAAGCUGGGGAGCAACGAGGAUAGAAAC
rnacentral:rRNA from 1 species